CACACUAUCAUUAACUGAAUCCAUAGGUUAAUGAGGCGAACCGGGGGAACUGAAACAUCUAAGUACCCCGAGGAAAAGAAAUCAACCGAGAUUCCCCCAGUAGCGGCGAGCGAACGGGGAGGAGCCCAGAGCCUGAAUCAGUGUGUGUGUUAGUGGAAGCGUCUGGAAAGGCGCGCGAUACAGGGUGACAGCCCCGUACACAAAAAUGCACAUAUUGUGAGCUCGAUGAGUAGGGCGGGACACGUGGUAUCCUGUCUGAAUAUGGGGGGACCAUCCUCCAAGGCUAAAUACUCCUGACUGACCGAUAGUGAACCAGUACCGUGAGGGAAAGGCGAAAAGAACCCCGGCGAGGGGAGUGAAAAAGAACCUGAAACCGUGUACGUACAAGCAGUGGGAGCCUCUUAAUGGGGUGACUGCGUACCUUUUGUAUAAUGGGUCAGCGACUUAUAUUCUGUAGCAAGGUUAACCGAAUAGGGGAGCCGAAGGGAAACCGAGUCUUAACUGGGCGUUAAGUUGCAGGGUAUAGACCCGAAACCCGGUGAUCUAGCCAUGGGCAGGUUGAAGGUUGGGUAACACUAACUGGAGGACCGAACCGACUAAUGUUGAAAAAUUAGCGGAUGACUUGUGGCUGGGGGUGAAAGGCCAAUCAAACCGGGAGAUAGCUGGUUCUCCCCGAAAGCUAUUUAGGUAGCGCCUCGUGAAUUCAUCUCCGGGGGUAGAGCACUGUUUCGGCAAGGGGGUCAUCCCGACUUACCAACCCGAUGCAAACUGCGAAUACCGGAGAAUGUUAUCACGGGAGACACACGGCGGGUGCUAACGUCCGUCGUGAAGAGGGAAACAACCCAGACCGCCAGCUAAGGUCCCAAAGUCAUGGUUAAGUGGGAAACGAUGUGGGAAGGCCCAGACAGCCAGGAUGUUGGCUUAGAAGCAGCCAUCAUUUAAAGAAAGCGUAAUAGCUCACUGGUCGAGUCGGCCUGCGCGGAAGAUGUAACGGGGCUAAACCAUGCACCGAAGCUGCGGCAGCGACACUAUGUGUUGUUGGGUAGGGGAGCGUUCUGUAAGCCUGUGAAGGUGUACUGUGAGGUAUGCUGGAGGUAUCAGAAGUGCGAAUGCUGACAUAAGUAACGAUAAAGCGGGUGAAAAGCCCGCUCGCCGGAAGACCAAGGGUUCCUGUCCAACGUUAAUCGGGGCAGGGUGAGUCGACCCCUAANNNNNNNNNNAGGCGAGGCCGAAAGGCGUAGUCGAUGGGAAACAGGUUAAUAUUCCUGUACUUGGUGUUACUGCGAAGGGGGGACGGAGAAGGCUAUGUUGGCCGGGCGACGGUUGUCCCGGUUUAAGCGUGUAGGCUGGUUUUCCAGGCAAAUCCGGAAAAUCAAGGCUGAGGCGUGAUGACGAGGCACUACGGUGCUGAAGCGACAAAUGCCCUGCUUCCAGGAAAAGCCUCUAAGCAUCAGGUAACAUCAAAUCGUACCCCAAACCGACACAGGUGGUCAGGUAGAGAAUACCAAGGCGCUUGAGAGAACUCGGGUGAAGGAACUAGGCAAAAUGGUGCCGUAACUUCGGGAGAAGGCACGCUGAUAUGUAGGUGAAGCGACUUGCUCGUGGAGCUGAAAUCAGUCGAAGAUACCAGCUGGCUGCAACUGUUUAUUAAAAACACAGCACUGUGCAAACACGAAAGUGGACGUAUACGGUGUGACGCCUGCCCGGUGCCGGAAGGUUAAUUGAUGGGGUUAGCGGUAACGCGAAGCUCUUGAUCGAAGCCCCGGUAAACGGCGGCCGUAACUAUAACGGUCCUAAGGUAGCGAAAUUCCUUGUCGGGUAAGUUCCGACCUGCACGAAUGGCGUAAUGAUGGCCAGGCUGUCUCCACCCGAGACUCAGUGAAAUUGAACUCGCUGUGAAGAUGCAGUGUACCCGCGGCAAGACGGAAAGACCCCGUGAACCUUUACUAUAGCUUGACACUGAACAUUGAGCCUUGAUGUGUAGGAUAGGUGGGAGGCUUUGAAGUGUGGACGCCAGUCUGCAUGGAGCCGACCUUGAAAUACCACCCUUUAAUGUUUGAUGUUCUAACGUGGGCCCCUUACCGGGGUUGCGGACAGUGUCUGGUGGGUAGUUUGACUGGGGCGGUCUCCUCCUAAAGAGUAACGGAGGAGCACGAAGGUUGGCUAAUCCUGGUCGGACAUCAGGAGGUUAGUGCAAUGGCAUAAGCCAGCUUGACUGCGAGCGUGACGGCGCGAGCAGGUGCGAAAGCAGGUCAUAGUGAUCCGGUGGUUCUGAAUGGAAGGGCCAUCGCUCAACGGAUAAAAGGUACUCCGGGGAUAACAGGCUGAUACCGCCCAAGAGUUCAUAUCGACGGCGGUGUUUGGCACCUCGAUGUCGGCUCAUCACAUCCUGGGGCUGAAGUAGGUCCCAAGGGUAUGGCUGUUCGCCAUUUAAAGUGGUACGCGAGCUGGGUUUAGAACGUCGUGAGACAGUUCGGUCCCUAUCUGCCGUGGGCGCUGGAGAACUGAGGGGGGCUGCUCCUAGUACGAGAGGACCGGAGUGGACGCAUCACUGGUGUUCGGGUUGUCAUGCCAAUGGCACUGCCCGGUAGCUAAAUGCGGAAGAGAUAAGUGCUGAAAGCAUCUAAGCACGAAACUUGCCCCGAGAUGAGUUCUCCCUGACUCCUUGAGAGUCCUGAAGGAACGUUGAAGACGACGACGUUGAUAGGCCGGGUGUGUAAGCGCAGCGAUGCGUUGAGCUAACCGGUACUAAUGAACCGUGAGGCUUAACCUUACAACGCCGAAG
rnacentral:rRNA from 1 species